rnacentral:tRNA from 1 species
GCGGAUGUCGCCUAUUGGCUUGGCACCGGACCGCCAGUCCGGCGAACAGAGUUCGAUUCUCUGCAUCCGCUCCA